UGGGGAAUAUUGGACAAUGGGCGAAAGCCUGAUCCAGCCAUGCCGCGUGAGUGACGAAGGCCUUAGGGUUGUAAAACUCUUUCGUCGGGGACGAUAAUGACGGUACCCGAAGAAGAAGCUCCGGCUAACUUCGUGCCAGCAGCCGCGGUAAUACGAAGGGAGCUAGCGUUGUUCGGAAUCACUGGGCGUAAAGCGCACGUAGGCGGAUAGUUAAGUCAGGGGUGAAAUCCUGGGGCUCAACCCCAGAACUGCCUUUGAUACUGGCUGUCUCGAGGUCGAGAGAGGUUGGUGGAAUUCCUAGUGUAGAGGUGAAAUUCGUAGAUAUUAGGAAGAACACCAGUGGCGAAGGCGGCCAACUGGCUCGAUACUGACGCUGAGGCGCGAAAGCGUGGGGAGCAAACAGGAUUAGAUACCCGAGUAGUCCCUGAGCGGGCUGGCAAGGCGCAU
rnacentral:rRNA from 1 species